rnacentral:rRNA from 1 species
AACGCACGCUAGUGGGCAGCAGCACAUGAGAAAUCAAAGUCUUUGGGUUCCGGGGGGAGUAUGGUCGCAAGGCUGAAACUUAAAGGAAUUGACGGAAGGGCACCACCAGGAGUGGAGCCUGCGGCUUAAUUUGACUCAACACGGGGAAACUUACCAGGUCCGGACAUAGGAAGGAUUGACAGAUUGAGAGCUCUUUCUUGAU